rnacentral:piRNA from 1 species
UGUGCAACCUUACAAACUACAGCUGCUA